GGCCCCGCCCCGCUCCGCUCCGCUCCUCUCCGCAAAACGAGGCGCGUCCAGCUGCGCGGCUUUCCCUGCUGCUCCUGUUCCGGGCUGCGAACGAUGGCACUGCAAGGGGCCGCGGCGCCUGAGGAGCUGGUUUUCUAUGUCAAUGGGAGGAAGAUAAUAGAGAAAAAUGCUGAUCCUGAACAAAUGCUCUUGGCUUAUCUCCGAAAGAGGCUCUGUCUUACAGGAACUAAGUAUGGCUGUGGAGGAGGUGGCUGUGGUGCUUGCACAGUGAUGAUAUCAACUUAUGAGCCAGCUUCAAAGAAGAUACGACAUUAUUCAGCCAAUGCGUGUUUGCUUCCCAUUUGCUCCUUGUAUGGUGCAGCAGUGACUACAGUGGAAGGUAUUGGAAGUACAAAAACCAGGAUUCAUCCAGUUCAGGAAAGACUUGCCAAGUGCCAUGGCUCCCAGUGUGGUUUCUGCACCCCUGGAAUGGUGAUGUCCAUAUACACUUUGCUAAGAAACCACCCAGAACCAACUUCGGAGCAGAUGAUUGCAGCUCUGGCUGGGAACUUGUGCCGCUGCACUGGAUACAGGCCAAUCCUAGAUGCCUGUAAAACCUUCUGUAAGGAAUCCAUUUGUUAUCAAAGGAAAGCAAAUGGAAAAUGUUGCUUGGAUCAGCAAGAUGAUUUGUUUGACAAUGAAGAGAAGGUGUCCACCAGCCUGGUUUCAACAGAUGAAUUCCAGCCCUUAGAUCCCACCCAGGAGCUCAUAUUCCCUCCAGAGCUAAUGAGAAUGGCAGAAAAUCAACCAAAAAGAACUCUGUUUUUUCGUGGGGAGCGAGUAACAUGGAUUUCUCCUGUGAGCUUGGAUGAACUGCUGGAUCUGAAAGCCACCCACCCUAAAGCUCCUCUUGUGGUUGGGAACACCAGUGUGGGACCUGACAUGAAAUUCAGAGGUGUGUUCCAUCCAGUUCUUAUUGCUCCUGCAAGGAUCCCUGAUCUGAAUGUGCUGAAAUACACAAACGAUGGAUUAACUCUGGGAGCUGCCUGCAGCCUCUCUCUAGUGAAAGACAUCUUGACAAAUGCAAUGGCCAAGUUCCCUGAAGAGAAGACAAGGGUUUUCUGUGCUAUCUUGCAGCAAUUGAGAACUCUGGGCGGAGAACAGAUAAGAAAUGUUGCUUCAUUUGGUGGAAACAUCAUAAGUAGAAAAUCAACCUCAGACUUGAAUCCUGUUCUGGCAGCCAGCAACUGCAUGCUCAAUCUGGCUUCAAGAGGACAAAAGCGACAGAUUCCUGUAAGUGAUAUUUUUGCAGAUGGAGUUGGUAACAAUACCAUUACACCAGAAGAGAUCUUGGUCUCCAUCCAUAUUCCCUAUUCUAGGAAGGGGGAGUAUGUCUCUGCAUUUCGACAAGCACCAAGACGGGAAAAUGCCCUUCCAAUAACCACUGCUGGGAUGAGGGUCCUUUUUGAAGAAGGUACAGACAUUAUAAAGGAUCUAAGCAUUUUCUAUGGAGGUGUUGUCUCAACAACAGUCUGUGCAAAACAAACCUGUUGGACACUUACUGGAAGACACUGGAAUGAACAAAUGUUGGAUGAAGCAUGCAGACUAGUUCUUAAAGAAAUUGCUCUUCCAGGCUCAGCUGGUGAUGAAAAUUUAGACUAUAAGAAAACUUUGAUGGUCAGUUUCUUCUACAGAUUUUUCCUGGAAGUAUCGCAGUCAUUGAAGACAAUGGAUCCUUGCCAUUAUCCUGGCAUACCUAUGGAAUAUGGGAGUAUCCUACAAGAUUUCAAAACCAGAAUGCCCCAGAGUAUCCAAAUAUAUCAGGACGUAGAGCCGAGCCAGUCUCCCCAGGACCCUGUAGGACGGCCCGUUAUGCACCAGUCUGGGAUAAAGCAUGCCACUGGUGAAGCAGUCUACGUUGAUGACCUUCCUUCUGUGGAUGGGGAGCUUUUCCUGGCUCCUGUCACUAGUUCCAGAGCUCAUGCUAAGAUUGUAUCUAUAGAUGCCUCAGAGGCCCUAAAAGGAGCAGGUGUGUUUGAUGUCAUAACAGCUCAUGACGUGCCAGCUGCAAAUGAGUUUCAUUUUUCUGAUGAUCCGGAGAUUAUAUUUGCAAGAAAUGAGGUGAUUUGUGUGGGUCAGAUUGUCUGUGCUGUGGUCGCAGAUUCAGAUGUCCAUGCCAAACAAGCAGCUGCAAAAGUGAAGAUAGAAUAUGAAAUUCUGGAACCAGUAAUUUUAACAAUUGAGGAAGCUAUAAAACACAACUCAUUCUUUGAGCCAAAAAGAAAAUUAGAACAAGGAAAUGUUGAUGAGGCAUUUGAAACUGUUGAUAAUAUAAUUGAAGGGGAGAUUUGCAUUGGGGGACAGAAACACUUUUACAUGGAGACUCAGAGUGUGCUUGCUGUUCCAAAAGGAGAGGAUAAAGAAAUGGAUUUGUAUGUGUCGACACAGCAUCCAGCAAUGAUUCAGGAGAUGGUAGCUGCAAGUUUAGGUGUUCCAGCCAACAGGAUCAUGUGCCAUGUGAAACGAGUUGGUGGAGCUUUUGGUGGGAAAAUCCUGAGAACUGGCUUACUGGCAUCAGUUGCUGCAGUGGCAGCAAACAAAACCAGCAGAGCAGUCCGUUUUAUUCUGAGCCGGGAGGAUGAUAUGGUAAUCACUGGUGGCCGACAUCCUUUUAUGGCUAAAUAUAAAGUUGGCUUCAUGAAUGAUGGCAGGAUCACAGCUGUGGAUACCCAAUAUUAUAUUAAUGGAGGAUGUACUCCUGAUGAAUCUGUCCUGGUAGCAGAAGUUUCCUUAUUAAAAAUGGACAAUGCAUAUAAGAUUCCCAACUUGAGAUGCUGGGCUUAUGCCUGCAAAACCAACUUGCCAUCAAAUGCAGCAUUCCGAGGCUUUGGCUUUCCUCAGUCAGGACUGGUGACAGAAACUUGGAUAACAGACGUUGCAGAUAAAACCGGUUUAUCAGCAGAAAAGAUUAGGGAAAUAAAUAUGUAUAAGAAGAGCGAGCAGACACACUUCAAACAAAAACUUGAUCCACAGAAUUUAAUACGGUGUUGGAAUGAAUGUAUGGAGAAAUCUGCAUACUACAGCAGGAGAACAGCUAUCAAUGAAUUUAACAAAGAAAAUUACUGGAAGAAAAGAGGGAUUGCCAUUGUACCAAUGAAAUUUCCAUUUGGACUAGGCACACCUUACCUUUCUCAGGCUGCUGCACUGGUUCAUAUUUAUACUGAUGGGUCUGUGCUUCUGACACAUGGUGGAAUUGAAAUGGGGCAGGGUAUUCAUACAAAAAUGAUCCAGGUUGCUAGUCGUGAAUUGAACAUCCCCAUGUCAUGUAUCCACUUCUGUGAAACGAGCACAACAACUGUUCCCAAUGCAUGUGCCUCAGUAGGAUCUGCAGGGACAGAUGUCAAUGGCAUGGCUGUGAAGGAUGCUUGCCAAACUCUUCUGAAACGCCUGCAGCCCAUCAUUGAGAAGAACCCAACAGGGACCUGGAAUGACUGGAUUAGAGAAGCUUUUAAACAGAGUGUGAACCUUUCAGCUACUGGCUAUUUUAGAGGUUACAAUGAAUACAUGGACUGGGAGAAAGGGGAAGGACAGCCAUUCACAUAUUUUCUUUUUGGAGCUGCUUGUUCAGAGGUUGAAAUUAACUGUCUAACAGGAGAUCACAAGAACCUCAGAACAGACAUUGUUAUGGACAUUGGAUGCAGCAUAAAUCCAGCUGUGGAUAUAGGACAGAUUGAAGGCGCUUUUGUUCAAGGUGUUGGGCUGUACACAAUGGAGGAGUUAAAAUAUUCUUCAGAAGGAGUCCUCUAUACUCGGGGUCCAGAUCAGUAUAAGAUUCCUGCUGUUUGUGAUAUUCCAGAACAGUUAAGUGUUUCCCUGCUGUCACCUUCUCAAAAUCCUUAUGCCAUCUAUGCAUCCAAGGGGAUAGGUGAGGCAGGAUUUUUCUUGGGAUGCUCUGUGUUCUUCGCUUUGAGGGAUGCAGUAACUGGUGUGAGGAAUGAAAGAGGACUGAAAAAGACCUUGGCACUGAACAGUCCCCUGACUGCUGAGCAAAUACGGGCAAACUGCGCCGAUGCCUUUACUGACAUGAGAAUGGCUCAAGAGCAACAAAGAGUCGUGAUUUUCCACGGGCAGAGAACAACAUGGACUUCUCUCCCGGGCAUGAAGAAGCUGAGGGAAUGGCCAUGCCUUUGAGGGGAAGAAAAGUAAACCUGGUUUUUGUCAACAGAGAUGAUAUGAGAAAGGACUUCUGAAGGGAACAGUAGAUGAAAUCACAUUAAAAAGUACAAGGGUAGAACUUCAGUUAAGAUUGAAUAAAACAAAUACAAUUUCUAACAGUCUUUUAAUGGAAUAAAAUGGGGUUAUGGGACAGCUCCCUGUUACAUAUAAGAAGGGCAAGCUUAAAAAUAACCUCAUUGUUUGUUAAAGUAUUUAGGAAGACACAUUGUAAGCAGGGGAUUGUCCUGAGACUCAAACCCAGCCUCACCAGCAGGCACAUCUGUCCUUUGGCAUCAGAAGGUAAGCUUUCGCUCCCCUGCCAAGUAUCUUUGAGAUGGGCAGAACACUGCAACAGAGAAUGUGUCUGUGGGUAACAGUUUUCAAGUCAAAUACUACUGUGCAUCUCCUAGAUGGGUUAGAACGGUACAUUCAGGAGAAUGGAGGACAUUAUCUUGGUAUUUGCUUGUCAUUUUAACUUGCAAAAAGUAUUUGCCAGUAGAAAACACUGUCCUGUUUGACAAGACAAAAGGAAAUGGCAUCUAGCCAUCUCAGGAAAGCAAGGUGGGCAUGCCUGACAGGUAUGAAGGCCUCCUUUCUACCCUCUGGUUAUGUCACUUCAUUUAUCGGGUUAGCUUUGUCUUGUAAUUCCACCACUGAUUGCUUUUCUUGCUUUUGCCUGUCACUUUUUAAGAAAAACUUUAGUUCAUUCUCUAGGGCCAUGCACCUAGAAACUUCUCUUGAAGUCCCUGGUGCUUUUGUGGAUAUAUGUGUGUAUGUACAUGAGCAUCGUAUUUAAAUAACACUCCAGUAAUCAAGCCAAAGCAAGUCCCAUCCUUGCAACAUAGAAUCUGUGAGAAGUUUGGAAAAUCUUGGCAACAGUUUCUGCAGUCUUUGAACUAAAUGUGUACAGGGCUGAUUCCCCAUCUUUUUGAAGUGUUUGAUAGUUACUUAAAACUUACUGUAAUUAAAUGUUUGUAAUGGUCUGAAGUGCUUUUGAGUAGAAGUAGGAGAGUUGUAUUUAAACCUAAAUAACUGAUUUUCUGACUAUUAUUAGCAUUUUAAGACUUACAUUUUCUAGAAAGUAUAAAAUACUCAGUAUUUUAUAUGUGAUGGAGAACUAUGGCAUUAAUAUAGGGAAAUCGAUAUAGAUUAGCCUUUCUGCUCAAGGGCUAGAUCCUGCUAAGUCCAUAUUGGCCUUAAUAUAUUCUUUUGCACAGAUUCAAUAAAAUUUGAAUCUGCAAUGCAGAAAUCUUUCCUUCUUACCUCACAUUCAAUAACAAACUAGAGUUUUCUCCAUCAGAUGGUAAAAGAUUCUUUUAAAUGAUCAGUUCCUUGCUGACUGUGAGCAUGCUGACAUAAAUGCCAAAAAGUUCACUGUUUGUGUUCUUAUCCUGUACUCUGUAAAGAUAAGACUGAUGCUUCAGAAGUUUCAUUUAAGUUCCUGUGUAGUUAUUAAGAUAUUAGGAAUAUUUCCAUUAUUUCCAGUAGGCAUUGAAACAUGCAGGCUACUCCUGCUUGGAUGUAGCUAAGAAAAUUCUAGCAUCCUUCCAUCACCACUCCCACUUUUUCCAGCUAUACAUCAUCUUCUACUUCUUUGGGCCUCUUACUGUUUUCUCCUCGCUCUUAAAUGUGUGCUUGUGCCCCUUUCAGACAAAAAUUUAGACUGCCUGAGUAUUUGCAAUAUAUGGAAAAAUGCCAUAUUGUCACACAAGUCUUCAGCAAUAAUUUCAUUUCUGACCUCUUUUCGCUAACUGAUUAAUGAUUUACAAUCAAUAAUCCUGAGUUGUGGUUGCAGCUACUCAAAAAAUAAGGUCCUAAACACUGUGACCAAAGGCGGCAGCAUGUGGCAUUGGGGGGUAGGGGUGAGGAAACAUGUCCUUGUUCCUGUGCUCUUAGGUAUCCCUCUAGUGGAUAUGAGGAGAGGAACGGCGUGGAUAGAGGGACACCCAACCACAAAGCAACGCGUUGUGAUUGAAAUCAGUGAAGGAGUGAGCACAGGAGUCUCUGCCAACCCUGACACCAGAGAGUCAGUCCCCAGAGCAACUGCCCGCUGCAGUGCAGCUCCCUAAACAUCCUCGUGCCGGGAAUUGGUGACUUCAGCUUUAAACCUCCAGUCCAAAACAAUUAUAUGUGCCAUGUGAAAAGUGUUGGUGGAGCAUUUGGGGAUUACAACACUCUUUGUUGUAGUUGCAGCUGUGGCAGCCAACAAGAAUUUACAUCUCCCUGUUGAGAAGCUAAAGAGAAAACUACUUAAAAGAUCAUUUUCCCUACUUUGUUACUGUUGCCAAAAAAAGAAGAAAAAAAAACCAGAAGAAGAACUUGCUGAAUCAGCCUAACCUCAGGCAUGGUAGGUUAAUAAGAAACUAAAACAUAGAAUGGGCUGAUUUAUUUGCACCACUAGGAGUUUGGGCUUGUACACAUAAUAUUAUUUGCAAUCUGCAUCAAGAGGCUGUAAUAAAAGGGGAUUUUUCUAAUGUUCCUUUUAGGAGCAGGUGUCCACUCCAUUUUAUCCUGGAAAGAAAUAUAGAUGUGUUAAUCACUGGUGGACAGCACCUUGCCUUUGGAAAAUAAAAAGUGAGUGACAUGAGAAGGUAUUUUUCCCAGUUACUGGGUAAUAGUUUCUUCUGAGGCAAAUCAGCAUAAUUUCAUUGACUGUCAAGAAACAGCUGGAAACCAAAGUUCUCUUCUUCUGAAAUCCUAACCCAGCACCAACCUUCUCCAGUCCUAAGAGUACCCUGAUGAAUGCCAUGAAUCAAAACAAAAGCUAUCAUCCUAGAGUCCAUGCAAUAUCCAGAAAAAGCAGAACGAUCCAACCCUUUUUUUAACUUUGGAAUACGGCUAACAUCCUAACUGCCCUAUCCCACCCUCAGAUGAUAAAUAUGUAACUCAGCAUUGAAUAUGAGCCACUUCUCAGACAUAAAGCCAGCUCUGCAAGGUAAUGCAAGAUAGAUCUUGUAGUAAACUCUUCCUUUUGACUUCUAAAUCCUCACAUUGAAAAUAAAUAGGUAAACCGUGCCAGCACUGAAAUCAGCUUGGUAAGUGGUGGUGGCAGGUGUAUGAAGUGAGCACCCUAAAACCCUCCAGGACAGGGUUUAUGGUUCAAUAUGGUUUGGAUAAAGAAGACCUGAGGAGUUGGCUUUUCAACAGACUCUUGCAUGAAUGGUAGAGUUUGGCUGAUGACUGUUUCUGGGAGAGAUUGCUUAUAUUUUUAAUUUUGCUGAAGAUAUUGCUCACAAAAAUACUGUUCAACUCUGGUUAUGAUUAGAAUAGGUUUAGAACUGGCUUGGGAAAAGAAAGGAGGAAAAUUUCAUUUUUGUUUUAGUCUUGUAUUAACCAUAAGACAAGGAAUGGGACUGUCAUUGGCAUAUGUCAGUAGCAUAUGUAUUUCAUAUUCUUCUGGGUAUCCAUUACCUGACUAUUAGGAAGUGCAAUACAGUACCAGCUCUGGCUGGUUUUCACAUGCAGUAUCUUCUCUCUCACACAGAUGGAACAUGUAACCCACAACUAGUGGACUAUGCCCUUUUAUUCAAAUUUCUUCCAGAGUCACUGAAGUUAUUUGGAUAACCGCUUUGUGUGGUUUGCUUUGCCUCUGGUUUCUUCAAAAUGAGGAUGGCAAGGAAACGCACCCUCACCCUUGAGUUCUCUGUGUGUUUCCAGAGUAAUGCCUCCAAUCUGCUCUUUCCAUGUCUUGCAUUUCCCUCACUCCAAGGGUUGGCAGGACAGAGCAGUAGCCUGCUGCACAGUACUGAUUUCUGUAGAAUGAGGCUGGAGCCAACUUCCCUCCCCGUAUCAGUCCCAGCCAACAAUGAUUACACAAGUAUUUCUGCAGAAAGCAGGGCAAGAUGGCAAUGAUGACAUUGUUUCCUGACAAUAGCCACCUCACAGGUUUUCCAUUGCACUCAUCCUUUGGCACUGUAAAAAGAGAUACAUCUGGAGUUGCUUAAUACCUUGUCACUGGGCCCAAAUUUCUGUUUAUAAGUUAAAUAGGGAAAAAAGGGAAUAAAAAAUUAAAGUAGUAAAGCACAGGAGCAAUUGUGAAAUAAAGAGCAAGAUUUUACCAGCCAGUCUCUCAUCAAUGCAUAUCCAGUCAGAAAGCAAACCAAAAAAACACUUUGGGAGAUGGGAAAGUUGGAACUGUCUGACGAAACUAUGUCAAGGUCCAUUAAUUAAAGUUUUCCAUUUAAAAAGCCCCAUGGGCCUAAGUUUGAACAAAUCUGUUGUGCUCUAGGCUGAAAAUUUCUCUAUGAAAAGGGGCACAAAUUACAUCAGGCAGACCUGCAGGCCCCUCUCUUCCCAUAGAGACCCCUACCUCAACCUGCCUGAGGCUGGGGUUAGGACUUCUGCCUGUCCUCUUCUGCUUCCAUCUGUGCAGGAUAUCCAGCAAAGUGUUUCUCAGUGAUAGGACUUCUCAUAUUCAUAGAAGUCAUAACCAAGGUCAAGAACCUUCAUAGGCUGUCAUGCAAAAAUUUGUGAACAGCUUAGAAUUUAAAUAAAGAUAAAUUUGUUAUCCAGUCACCAGGAGAUGAAGUAUCAUCUCCAGGAAUAAACUGUAGGCUUUCUUUGCAAAAUCAUGGCACCCACAAUUCAAUGCAGUCUCAUUAAAAUGUAUUGCAUAGUGGAACCUCGUAUGUCAGUUUCUGUAAUCUGAGCCUUUCAGGCUGAGAGCUCACCUGUGCUAUAGAGAUAUGAGCUUAAUUACCUGUUCAAUUACAAGAAUGCCACUGUUCACUAGAGGUAAGUUGGUUGAUUUCCCAACCUUUUAUAACCUGAGAAACUUGAGAUAUGUGUGUGCAAUGACAUUUGUGCAGCUGAUAAGGAACAUGCAUUUGUGAAAUACUGUAAGUUUUUUCUCCCCUUAGCAAAACUAUUUUCUGUAUUUUAUUUCAGUUUCCUUAAGACAAACUUGGAACCUGUAAGCCAUGGGUUUAGAUUAUACAUUAGUACUGCUUUCCUAAGGAUUGGACAACCAAGUGACUCCUUCAGCCCCUUACUGACAGCAAGCAUUCCUGCAAGAAAGAAUUAGAACUGUCAUACUUACACACACACAUAUGUAUGUGACACUAUUUUGGUAGAACAAGAUAUAAGCACCAGUUCUCUUGUCCUGCCAAGUAGAAGACCUGUCAUUAAUGUGUUUCAUGCUACACUGGAACAGUUCUGGAGUUACCUCAAGAACUUGAAAGAAUUUGCAUGCAAUUUUGAAAAUACCUGCAACGAAGAGCAGAUCACAAGUAGUACCAUUGUGUCGCUUCUACAUCCAGUUUGAGAGCAACAGCUGUUAUCUUUGAUUUUUUCUGUUCUUCCAGCAUAUGGAAAUCCCAAGGAUCAGAAUGAGACCCUGUACAAAUUAAUGAUGGGCAAUGUAUCAAUAUUUAAGUAAAACAGAGAUUCUAAAAGUACAUACUGCCAAGUAUUUCUAGGCACAGAUAUAUGACCACCCCAGUAACCCAUCAGUUUAGCUCUGCUUCCUGGCAGCCCGCCUCAGGCCUGCUCCACAUCAUCAGAUCUCUUUGAACCACUAACUCUGGCCUCUCCCAGAGGUGGAACAUAAUCACUGCCAUUCACUGCCUUGUCAUCACUCACUUCUCCUCUGCCUUACCCCCAGUUUUGCCCCUUCCUUCCAGCAAAAUGCUAAAGCAGGACGAAGUUGAUGCAUUCAUCCCAGGUGAGGAGAGGGCACAAGGUGGGGGAGUGGCACUGGAGGUGGGAAGGGUUAAGAGCAGGACAGGAUCCCAGUAGCAGCUGUUUUCCUAACAGAGGUGAGGUUGCCCAGAGCAGAUGUGCAGCAGGUGACCAAGAGGGAAAGGUGGAGGGGAGGGCUGAGAGGGGAACUGUGACAAGAUAAAUUCAUUAUAGGUGUGGCAGCUCAGCUGUGCCAAACAACUGGCACUCUGACAGACAUUGUUUUGGAAAGGAGGUUUUAAAGUGAUCCAGUGGCAGCUGUAUGAAUCUUGAUGGAACAUUUCCCCAUGAGGAGAGUAGUCUGAAAAAGAAGUGUAAAGGUAUUUGAGAAGGAGGAAAGGAAAUGGCUGAGCUGAGCCAGCGUAGGUAUGCGUACAAAUCAAUAUUCAGCUUUGACAGUUGAUAGUUCAAAGCCAUAAAAUUACCAGUGAGAACACAUUUAACAACAUCAUUCUGUUCCCAAACACUAGCAUAAGAAACAACUCUAAAGAUGCUCAACAGGUAUUGCAUGAGUUCAGAUCCUGAGCUUAUGUACAUAAACACAAAUUUAUUUUCAUUUAUUUCACUGAUGACAGUGCAGGUUUAAAUUAGCAUAGUAUAGAAGAGAGUGGGACCUGCAUACACCCUCAAAUAAGUCAAAUUUAAUCUAAAUCUGUAGAGAUUAAAAAAAAAAAAAACUUAUUCCUUUACAUUGGUAACAUUUUCUGGUUCCUUUCUACAGCUAAUAGAAAAAGCUCUACUGGUAAUGAGCUUCGUAGUUUUGUCAUAUCAAAUACUUUAGGGAGCAGAAAACAGAAAUUAUUAUAUCUUAGUGUUUCCUUUCCUUAAAAUGUUUUAAUAAUUUCUGAUUUUUCUUCUUGGCUUUUUAAUUAAUUGUGAUUUAGACAAAUGCUCUAAUUUUAGAAUGGGCACCAAUGUAAUCAGUGCCUUGGGUUUAGAAUUAAUGGACAAAUAUUGGCUAAUAUGAAGGUGAAAAUGUUUCUUCUGAAUGUGGUAUUUUUGAAGUUAGUAUUUUGGGGAUUUCAUUGGGCUGUUAACUGGAAUCUGCAAAAAUGUUUCUUGAAGAAAACUUGUAAGACACUGUACUGCUAUUUCAUGGCACUGGGAUCUAUCAUCAGUAUUAUUUCAAGGACAAAAUAGUAACAAAAAUGGUAUGAGAUGAACUCUGGCUCCUAUUGACAAUAAGAAUGAUCGUGUUUUCCCUGCUGCAGCCCAGUGAUUUGUCCCAUUUAUACACCUGAUAACUGGUCAUUUCAAGAGCUUUAGUCACAGCAACAUUGCACUUAAAUCUGGUGGAAAUUGCAGCUGCAUACAGUCUAGAAGGAAGCUUGUGUUCUCUAAGUUGGUUUGGUGGUUUUGCCUUUUGGGGAGCAAAGACCUGAGCUACAAUUGCAUCUCCAGUCCUACACCAGCACAGAGAGUAUUCCCCAUGUUGUCUCCAGCUCUGUGCUGCUGUGUGUUUGGCAGCCCAUCUCUUUUACGUAGUACUUAAAGGGCCUCCACUAACACAGUGAGUGUUCAUGCUGUCUGCUAACAGACAGACUGCCUACAGCCAGAGGGUAGGAUGAGACCUGUUAAGGUGAUUGCCAGUCAAAGAAUCCGUGUUUAAAGGGCAGUAGAGAAGGCCUGCGCUUCUGGAGCCCAGGGACUUUGCUGUGUGUCAGACAACUGAUAGUCCUGUCUGCACACACUACAGUGUAUCAAGUGCUUGUAUGGUGCUGUCACCACCAGGAUCUGAAACAAAUUAUUACAACUGCAAAGCAAAUCAAGUAGCACAGCCGGUCCCGGUGCUGCCACCCGCACUUAUCACCCGCGCUCCGUGGGCCGCAGACCAGGCCGGAGGAGAGGUGUCCCUGCGGUGCCGGGCUGGCUCCGCCGCAGGGCCGGGGAGCGCGGGGGGCACCAGGCGCUGGGUCCCGGGCGCGGUAACCCCGGUAUGGCUCGGCCGGGAAGCUCCUCUGGUGGGACAGAGACCCCCCGAGGCCAACAGCUCGGCACCACGCGCGGCCCCGAGAGAGCCCGCCCCGCUCCCCGCCCCUUCCCUCCAUCCUCUGGGGCGGGGCGGAGCGCGGCCCUCCCCUCUUCCUCUGGCGUCGGUUCCGUUCGCAGAGCUCUCGCUGCCACCGUUCCUCGCUGCUGUUCCUGCCCGUCUCCGCUCCGGGCCGCUCGGGCAUUUUCUCUCUGCCUUAAAGUCGGGUGUCUUUUAUGAAUAAUCAAAAGCCGCAGAAGCCGACACUAUCGGGCCAGCGUUUUAAAACCAGAAAAAGAGGUGA